GUGUCCUACGGGAGGCAGCAGUCGGGAAUAUUGCGCAAUGGAGGAAACUCUGACGCAGUGACGCCGCGUAUAGGAAGAAGGUUUUCGGAUUGUAAACUAUUGUCGUUAGGGAAGAUAAAAGACAGUACCUAAGGAGGAAGCUCCGGCUAACUACGUGCCAGCAGCCGCGGUAAUACGUAGGGAGCAAGCGUUAUCCGGAUUUAUUGGGUUUAAAGGGUGCGUAGGCGGAAUGCCAAGUCAGCGGUAAAAUCGCGGGGCUCAACCUCGCUCCGCCGUUGAAACUGGCGUUCUUGAGUGGGCGAGAA
rnacentral:rRNA from 1 species